AAGGAGUCUAACACGUAUGCGAGUGUUUGGGUGUCAAACCCAUACUCGUAAUGAAAGGUGACGGAGGUGGGAACCUUUUUGUGAGGUGUACCAUCGUCCUACUAGGAUCUACUGUGUAGGGUUUGAGUAAGAGCAUAGGUGUUGGGACCCGAAAGAUGGUGAACUAUGCCUGAAUAGGGUGAAGCCAGAGGAAACUCUGGUGGAGGCUCGCAGCGGUUCUGACGUGCAAAUCGAUCGUCAAAUUUGGGCAUAGGGGCGAAAGACUAAUCGAACCAUCUAGUAGCUGGUUCCCGC
rnacentral:misc_RNA from 1 species